CGGCCCGACCCGACCACGCCUCCCGCAGCCCGGCCUUAAACGCCUGCCACGCACCCCACAGCCCCUCACACAGGAGGCAGCUUUCACCGCAGCGCAAUGGCGGCCAGCCUCCGUCCGCUUCGCGUUCCCAGCGCCGGGAAGUGCGCAACCCGAGUUCAGCAGUUGAUCCAAUCGGCGCCGAGGUGCUCAGAUAGAUUAGUGAGAGGACCAAUUAGAGUUGCACACUGCGCCGAGGAGGCGGGCCCAUAGGCGGAAAGGCUUUGAACUCAAGGGGGUGUGGUCUGGGUGAAGCCCCGCCUCCUCCGUUUCCGAGGCUGUUUCUGGGGCCUCUGACAGACCUCAGCGUGUGAUGGGCUCUCACAUCACUGUGAGAGACCGAAGUCUGCAGGGUUUGAAUAAAUUUGCCAAGAUUGCGCAUUGUAC
rnacentral:antisense_RNA from 1 species